UGGGAAAUGUGUUAAAAAUAGGAGGUGAGAAUGAACAGAAAAUUAAUAAUUACUCGAAAACUUGCUUGGUCUACAAAUUGUUUGGUAUCUCACACGCUAUGGAUUUGGUAUCUCACACACGCAAUGGAUAUUCUCUAUUCAUAUUCUUGGGUAGGAACGUCACUAAUUUUAUCGGGCGGCACACGCAUAGCACGUGCUAGGGAAACAAAGAGACCCCCGGUAGAAGUUUUCUUCCUCGAUGACUCCGAAUGAGAUCCCUUCCCUCCGCAAACCUCCAUAACCGAGAACCACCUUCCUUUCUCUCUCUUUUUAAUGAUAGUUAUUUUUCUAAAAUGAUUUAGCGAUGUAUGUAAAAUCUUAUGCUUGAUCCGAUAACUUAGUGUAAGAUUUACUUACUGGGCCGUGUAGUUCAUAUCUCCUUUUUUUUAUCUUUUUCAGACGAAUAAGAACACAAGGAGUGAGAAAUGAGCU
rnacentral:lncRNA from 1 species